CGAGGUUCCAGAUCCAGAAGGGGAAGAAGAAGAUGUAGAAGAGCUCGUUGCCCAGCUCGGUGCCUAAGCUGAACAGGCACAGCAAAUGAAUGCCUAUAAUUAAAGACUGAACUACUUCCAAGAAACAGGCUGAAAGAUGUUCCAUGCUGUGCUGGCUUCUAACUCAGACCUAGCGGUGCCAAGAAGAUGUUCUACCGCUGUGCUAAAUCUCCAAGCCCCUGACAGGCUCUGGUUAACUAUAAACUUCAGAAGCUCCCACUGAGAGAAUAAUCAAACUCACAUGCACAAAUGAAUCCACCCCAGCAUGGAUUAUCAGAAGCCUGUGAUAAGAGAUUUCUUCCUUCCUGGCAAAGAGGACGUUAUCUCAAGGGAGGCUUCACUGUCAACUUCAGGAAGAAAUGGGCA